rnacentral:misc_RNA from 1 species
GGCUUCUCGUUGGGAUACAUACCUGCUCAUGAAUGAUGAUCAGAUUCACUGGUUUUCCAUCAUAAAUUCCCUUAUGAUUGUCCUAUUCCUUUCUGGUAUGGUUGCGAUGAUCAUGAUGAGAACUCUGUACCGAGAUAUUGCUAACUAUAAUCAACUAGAAACACAAGAUGAAGCUCAGGAAGAAACAGGAUGGAAACUUGUUCAUGGAGAUGUUUU